rnacentral:rRNA from 1 species
GACGAACGCUGGCGGCGUGCUUAACACAUGCAAGUCGAACGGUAAGGCCCUUCGGGGUACACGAGUGGCGAACGGGUGAGUAACACGUGGGUCGUCUGCCUGCACUUCGGGAUAAGUCUGGGGAACUGGGUCUAAUACCGGAUAGGACUCCUGGCUUCAUGGUUGGGGGUGGAAAGCUUUUGCGGUGUGGGAUGGGCCCGCGGCCUAUCAGCGUGGUGGUGGGGUAAUGGCCUACCGAGGCGACGACGGGUAGCCGGCCUGAGAGGGUGACCGGUCACACUGGGACUGAGAUACGGCCCAGACUCGUAAGGGAGGCAGCAGUUGGGAAUAUUGCACAAUGGGCGCAAGCCUGAUGCAGCGACGCCGCGUGAGGGAUGACGGCCUUCGGGUUGUAAACCUCUUUCAGCUAUGACGAAGCGCAAGUGACGGUAGUAGCAGAAGAAGGACCGGCCAACUACGUGCCAGCAGCCGCGGUAAAAC